rnacentral:rRNA from 1 species
UACGUAGGGGGCAAGCGUUGUCCGGAUUUAUUGGGCGUAAAAGGCUUGUAGGUGGCCACGCCAAGUCGGAUGUGAAAUCUCCCGGCUCAACUGGGAGGGGUCAUUCGAUACUGGCGGGCUCGAGGCCGGUAGGGGGAAGUGGAAUUCCCGGUGUAGUGGUGGAAUGCGUAGAGAUCCGGAGGAACACCAGCGGCGAAGGCGGCGUCCUGGACUGGUACUGACGCUCAGGAGCGAAAGCGUGGGGAGCGAUCCGG